CUCUAGGAUGUGCUCAUUGCAUGGGCUGUGUAGAUUUUUAUUUAAUACACAGAACAUGCAGUGAGAACUUGAUAGAGAUU
rnacentral:miRNA from 7 species